rnacentral:rRNA from 1 species
UGGGGGAUAUUGCACAAUGGGCGAAAGCCUGAUGCAGCGACGCCGCGUGGGGGAUGAAGGCCUUCGGGUUGUAAACUUCUUUUGCUUUGAACAAGGCAUGCUAAUGGGUGUGUUGAGUGUAGGGGUUGAUUAGCGCCGGCUAACUACGUGCCAGCAGCCGCGGUAAUACGUAGGGCGCGAGCGUUGUCCGGAAUUAUUGGGCGUAAAGGGCUUGUAGGUGGCUGGUUGCGUCUGUCGUGAAAGCUCAUGGCUUAACUGUGGGUUUGCGGUGGGUACGGGCUGGCUUGAGUGCAGUAGGGGAGGCUGGAAUUCCUGGUGUAGCGGUGGAAUGCGCAGAUAUCAGGAGGAAUACCGGUGGCGAAGGCGGGUCUCUGGGCUGUUACUGACACUGAGGAGCGAAAGCAUGGGGAGCGAACAGG